rnacentral:rRNA from 1 species
UGGGGAAUAUUGGACAAUGGGCGAAAGCCUGAUCCAGCCAUGCCGCGUGUGUGAAGAAGGUCUUCGGAUUGUAAAGCACUUUAAGUUGGGAGGAAGGGCCAUUACCUAAUACGUGAUGGUUUUGACGUUACCGACAGAAUAAGCACCGGCUAACUCUGUGCCAGCAGCCGCGGUAAUACAGAGGGUGCAAGCGUUAAUCGGAAUUACUGGGCGUAAAGCGCGCGUAGGUGGCUUGUUAAGUUGGAUGUGAAAUCCCCGGGCUCAACCUGGGAACUGCAUUCAAAACUGACUGACUAGAGUAUGGUAGAGGGUGGUGGAAUUUCCUGUGUAGCGGUGAAAUGCGUAGAUAUAGGAAGGAACACCAGUGGCGAAGGCGACCACCUGGACUGAUACUGACACUGAGUGCGAAAGCGUGGGGAGCAAACAGGAUUAGAUACCCACGUAGUCCCUGAGCGGGCUG